UCAUUGGUUUUAACAAACUUGAAUCUGUACUAUGUCAGGAGGCUUUCAUGUAAAUUUCAGCUUCUCUGUCCCAGUGGUUCUUGAGAAGAUUUUUGAAUGACCCCACCGUAUUUUUGCGAUUAUCUCCCCUUUGAAGGGGCAUGGCCCUUCAUUUGAACAAACUUGAAAGCCUUUCACCCAAGGGUGCUUUGUGUCACUUAGUUUGGUUGAAAUUGACCCAGUGGUUCUGGAGAAGAUGAAAAUGUGAAAAGUUUUCGCCGACGACAGACAACGAACAAAUUUUGAUCAGAAAAGCUCACUUGAACCUUCGGCCCAGGUGAGCUAAAAAAAAAAAUUUAAACAGGUAUUAUCAAAUUGUCCCUGAAGUUGAAUUUUGUUUAUCUUGAUGUCACGGGUAACCUGGUUCAAAGAUCUAUUUCUUCGACUCGUGGGUGGGGGAAGGUGGCUCCAGACCUAAACAACUUGAGACAGUCUCUCAUCUUGUUUCUAACUUCUUUGAGGGCCAUCUCUGGAUUUUCCUCUGGUACAGAGGCUUAAAAGAUAGCAUAAUGAAUUAUUUGAGAGGUUGCAUAACAGGUUUUGUAAAUGAACAUCAUGCAAAAUUUAAAAUAUCUAUGUCUUGAACUUGUAUAUAUGCACCUUCUGCAUCGUCUUCCCUUUUAUCUAAGCCAUCUUUGGUCUCACGGGCGUUUUCCUGUCACACUGCAUAAUGUCGGUUCAUCCACUGAAAACAGUGCCUUAUUAAUUUUAAGUCACUUGAUGAUAUUCUAAAUUCAUAACUAUCUCUUCAAGUCCAUGCUACAAUGAAAGAGAACAUGUACUAGAUAAAAAUAUUGGAAACAGGAUGAUAAUUUGUUAAGGUGUGACAAUUCCACUAGACUACCAAAAGAGACGAAUUAUUACAAACCAAAAGUAAAAAUACUAACCAGCAACGCCGUGUAUUUUGAACAACUAGGCCUAUCUCCCAGUUUCUGAGUGUAAGGUGAAUCCUAUAUUCCUAUCUGGAAUCCAUUCCAUGCUUGAUUGCAUACUGAUUCUGUUGAAUGUUCUCCAUCCUUGCGAAUAUUUCCCUGACUUCGCGCCCAGAAAGGAACAUUGAAAAAAAAAGCGCUUUGAUCACUUGCGUGAACGUCAGGUCGUACACUGACUGACUCGUCCCCAGGUCAACACGUAACCAAAAGACGAUCAGUGAAAAGUUAUACAAUCGACCAGUGGAAACCCAGUGUAUAAGACUUCAUAUAUAUACAUAUGAUAUAUUUUAUACAUGAUAUAUCUGAUAUCGAAUUAGAACGGGGAGAAGAAAAAAACACGACAAGCUUCGUACAUUGUACAAGUUGACCGAAACGACAUCACCGGAAGUUACAACUUUCAAAGAAGUCAUUUAUGAUUUAAAGAUUUGUGAAUGGAAAUCAAUAACAUCGGAAUGAAAAAGGACUACGGGGUAACGGAUGACACUCUGAGAUUGAGAACCCAAAAGGUACAUGCUGUGCAAGAAAGAUGUAAACAUGCGAAUUCCUAAAUGUACUAAAUAUUAAAACAUCAACUGCAAUCUUCAGUGGUGACUUCCAAAAGUUGAUAUGCCAUUGGUACUUCAAGUGAUACGACCGUGACAUUGGAAAAUCCUUUUAACUUAUCAUCACUUGAGCCUGAAUUGCAAUCCUUUUGAUACAGACAUUUUUUUAAGUUCAGUUUCGAACAUUAAUGCCGCUGUUUCAUCUCUGGAAAUGGAAAAGCCUACCACAAAAUCUGAUGAAUUUUUGAACAUUCUUUCACAAAAAGGGAUCUUCUUUAUUUUGAAGAAGGUAGCCCAGGAACUGGAAAUCUGUUAUCAAAAUGAUCUUAAUAAUACACUGGACAAUAUUCUAACCUAAAAAAACCCAUGACAAACCCGAUUGAACUCCUGUGAUGAAGCAUCUCAAAACUCAAAUUAUGGUAGUCUUUCAAGUGACAUUGAGGAUUUCAAUAGCGCAUUUGACAGUAAAGUGAUUUUUAUUCAAGUUCAGAUUGUUGUCAUUAUAAAUUUAUAAGAAGUGUUCUCAUAGCCAACAUUUUUCAAGUCUACUUUUGAUGAAAUAUAGUCUUUUCUAUUACAACUUAUUAUGACAUGAUUGUUGUUGUAUACAUAAAUGUUCUUAUCCACGAAUCAUUCACUGUUCUUAUAGGUUUUUUUUAGCCUGAACUAUGUAGCAAUGACAUGUCAAGGUAAUCCAGAAAAUGUAAAAUCUUUUCUUUGAUAUGACAAGGAUUUAAUUUUGUAACAAUUAAUAUCUAAAAGUCCUGUAACCCUCAUUAAAGUCCUUUAUAAUCUGA